UACGUAGGUGUCGAGCGUUGUCCGGAAUAAUUGGGCGGAAAGCUCGCGCAGGCGGCCUCUUAAGUCUGAUGUGAAAGCCCCCGGCGCAACCGGGGAGGGCCAUUGGAAACUGGGAGGCUUGAGUAUAGGAGAGAAGAGUGGAAUUCCACGUGUAGCGGUGAAAUGCGUAGAGAUGUGGAGGAACACCAGUGGCGAAGGCGACUCUUUGGCCUAUAACUGACGCUGAGGCGCGAACGCGUGGGGAGCAAACCGG
rnacentral:misc_RNA from 1 species